AUUGAACGCUGGCGGCAUGCCUUACACAUGCAAGUCGAACGGCAGCACGGGGCAACCUGGUGGCGAGUGGCGAACGGGUGAGUAAUGCAUCGGAACGUACCUUUCAGUGGGGGAUAACGUAGCGAAAGUUACGCUAAUACCGCAUAUUCUGUGAGCAGGAAAGCAGGGGCUCGCAAGACCUAGCGCUGAUUGAGCGGCCGAUGUCAGAUUAGCUAGUUGGUGGGGUAAAGGCUCACCAAGGCGACGAUCUGUAGCGGGUCUGAGAGGAUGAUCCGCCACACUGGAACUGAGACACGGUCCAGACUCCUACGGGAGGCAGCAGUGGGGAAUUUUGGACAAUGGGGGCAACCCUGAUCCAGCCAUGCCGCGUGAGUGAAGAAGGCCUUCGGGUUGUAAAGCUCUUUCGGCCGGGAAGAAAUCGCACGGGCUAAUACCCUGUGUGGAUGACGGUACCGGAAUAAGAAGCACCGGCUAACUACGUGCCAGCAGCCGCCGUAACAC
rnacentral:rRNA from 1 species